CACGGGUGAGGAGGCCUCUCCUCUGGUCCCAAUGUCACAGUAGCCCUCAGAGAUGGGAAGGGGCAUCCCCAGGAGCUGACAGAGCUUCCUGAGGUAGCGGUCUCACCGAUCUUGAGCCUCUGUAGGACCCCGUAGCCCCCGAGACCCAGGGCAGCCAGGCCCUGGGCCAGCAGCGCUUUCUCCACCUGGAAACACUUCUCCAAGGACUGUGAGGCGACAGGGAGACACGCCAUGCUGUCCAAGUCUUCUGCGGCCAGUGAGAAGCGUGCCUGCCUGGGGGAUUCAGCCCUGGGCCCGGCCUCCUGGGGACAGUGCUUGGUGGCCUAAAUGCUGGCCACCGACCUCUUCUGAAUGGCUGUGCUUGCAGUGGCCAUGUCAGAGUGCAGUCGAAGCAAUAAUUGGAUUAUUCCCGUUUAAAGCCCGCUUACUCACGCUGCAAGGCAAAGCCUGUCUUCAUCCGGAGGAGACAUCUUAGGUGAGUUAUCAGGAACCCACUCGUAAACGUGCCUUCCGGGACAGCUCUGGGUUAAAUAGAAGGUGUGAUGACAACAAACAAAGCCACACGCUUAUUAAGACGCCUUCAUGUGACACAGCCUUAAGUAUGUGAGAGCAGAGCUCACCGAGUGGAACUCCGGGAAUGUACACACACGGCGCAGCAGGAGGUCCCUCCGCCCUGGAGCUCACCGAGUGGAACUCCGGGAAUGUAUACACACGGCGCAGCAGGAGGUCCCUCCGCCCUGGAGCUCACCGAGUGGAACUCCGGGAAUGUAUACACACGGCGCAGCAGGAGGUCCCUCCGACCUGGAGCUCACGGAGUGGAACGCGGGGAAUGUAUACACACGGCGCAGCAGGAGGUCCCUCCGCCCUGGAGCUCACCGAGUGGAACUCCGGGAAUGUAUACACACGGCGCAGCAGGUAGGUCUCCACCCUGGAGCUCACAGAGUGGAACGCGGGGAAUGUACACACCACACGCAGCAGGUAGGUCUCCGCCCUGGAGCACGGCGAGCAGGUAGAUUCUAUUGAUCCGGGGUCUGGGGCAGUUGGGGUUGAGGGUCUGAGGGGACCCCAGUUCACCCAGCUCGUGGAAGCUGCAAACAGCCUAUGUGCUCUCGAGAGCUGACCCUCUGCGUCUUGUCUGAGUGACCACAGAUGGGAUGGCUGCGUGGCUCCGUGGUGCUUGAAAGCCCUUGCUAGGGACUGAGCGAUGCUGUAUGCGGAACUUGAAGCCAGCCCCGCUGACUCCUCUCGCCAGGAAUCUGGUGACACCAAAGGGCCUGCCGAUUUGUUUCCAGCACCAGGAAGCCCCAGCCCAUCUCUGAAAGAGUCAGCAGCUCAGGAAGGCACCCCUGC